CCUACGGGAGGCAGCAGUGAGGAAUAUUGGUCAAUGGGCGGAAGCCUGAACCAGCCAAGUAGCGUGCGGGAUGAAGGCCCUACGGGUCGUAAACCGCUUUUGCACGGGGAUAACACCCUCCACUUGUGGAGGUCUGCAGGUACCGUGCGAAUAAGGGCCGGCUAAUUCCGUGCCAGCAGCCGCGGUAAUACGGAAGGCCCGAGGGUUAUCCGGAUUCAUUGGGCUUAAUGGGAGCGUAGGGGGGCGUUCACGGCAGCGGGAAAAUCGCGCGGCUCAACCGCGCCCCGCAGUUGAAACUGGACGCCUUGAGUGCACAACAGGCAGGCGGAAUUCGUGGUGUAGCGGUGAAAUGCAUAGAUAUCACGAGGAACCCCGAUUGCGAAGGCAGCCUGCCGGGGUGCGACUGACGCUGAGGCUCGAAGGUGCGGGUAUCAAACAGGAUUAGAUACCCGGGUAGUC
rnacentral:rRNA from 1 species